UUUUUAUUAUUGUCUUUACCCCUAUUAAGCGGCCACCCAAAAUUUCAACACUUUGUUUUGGAAAGGGCGAUGGCAGAAAAGAGUUUGAAAUUGAAGGUGCAUGACGAGUUAUAACUCAUACACACGCCUAUCAUGAUUGUCUUGAAUUGACUCCAUGUUCACCAAGAAAUUUAUAACCCGAUAGUGAAAAAUUAAAUAUUCAAGGUACACCAACCUUUAUUUAAGGGCUAGCCCCAUUAAGCGGUCACCACCCAUUUCCCCGAGCGUAGCCCACUGUAUUACAUGUAAACGAAAAAUAAUUGCACAGCGCGAAAAGACCUAGGUAUGAGUUUAGCGUUACAGUAUUACGCAGGGCAUGUAGGUAACGGUGGUCGAGUAAAAGAUAACAACAGGGGCAAUGG